AUGAACGGCUUAGAAAAUAACAUUACUCAAAACGUGAUCUUGGUUGGAAAAAGCAUACUGGUUAUUUCAGCCAGGAGGUUUUCAGGCAGAGGCUGACCCUGGAUUAAUGUUCAGCUCCUUCUGUGGAAAUCUAUCCAGGCCCUAAAGGAAUGGGGGAGGCUAGGCAAGUCAAGGCAUUGUCUACAGAAUGCUGAGCAAAACAUAGAUGUGAGGUGAUCAGCUGGAAAAAAGCAGAGACACAUUGGAAAGUCACACGAAGUGGACAUGGAAAAGGAAGGAAGAGCUAGAUUAAGCUAUACUUCCAGCAUUGGAGCCAGGUGGGAAAGCAAAGCAAAAGCAAAGCAAAACAGCAACCAAAACCCACAAAGUGGUUGGUUAACUGUUGGUAAAACAGCUGAGCUGCAAAGAAGGAGGACCUGCAGACCAGAGCUGACAUGAUGUGAGUUUGGUCAGUUCACGGAUGUGAAGAUUGAUCAUUUCACGUUCGUCUGUGUGCGAGAAGUGCUCCUUCUGCUCCUGAAGUAUCUGGUUGGGAUUCCAUUUCUUUGUUGGAGAACCAAACCCAUCCACAAGGUAAGGAAUCCUGGGGAGCCUUCAACCCAGACUCUUAGGGUUUCCAUUGCUAAUCUCAAUUUCCCAGAGGGUUUGGUACGGCCAAUGACACAACUCGAUUGGGAAGUGUAAAGAAAGAAUGGACGAUCACUCCUGUAGGAAAGAGAUGUGGCACACCUAAGGGUUAAGGAGGGACGAAGGUUUCUAUUUUAAACUCACAGGUUCUCUGAAGCAUUGGCAAGUCUUGGGUAAUAUACCACUCAUGUUGCUGUGGAACAUGUACAAGACUUUAGGGACUUUUUCUGGUUCACUGAAAGCAAAAUCAUUCAAGAGGACAGGGG
rnacentral:lncRNA from 1 species